AAGCAGCGAUCAUCCUGACUCUGCCAGUCCUUGGGCUCCUUUCACUUUGGCCUUCAGCCCUGGCAGUGGUGGCCAGCUCCCUAAGGGGUGGCGGCUCCUGCUUGAACAGGCCCAGCCUCGGGGCAGCUGCCAGGCCCAGGGAGCAGCUCUACCAGCGCCCAGCAGGCCUGGAGCAGACACUGGAGGUGCCCGGCCACCCAGGGGCAGGGAUUAAGACCCUAGGGUUCCUAAUCAGUGUUUGAAUCUUACAUCUUCUAGUGACAUGAUUGUGGGCAGAUUCUUCAACUUCCCAACCUUCAUCUGAAAAAUGGGUGGUUAUGAAGAUUGUAAAUUUCCAGGUAAAUGGCCUGAUAACAUACUGUGUGCCUGGCUCACACGGUGUGUUCAAAACAUGCUUGUUGUUAUGGUUACCAUCACAAAGAGGAAGGAAAUUCACUGAUCACACCCAUUUAUCUGACCUCUCAAAGCUCAGGGCUAAUGGGCUGGAAAUAGAAUCAUAAACCAGUUCCUUCCACCCCAUGAAUUCUUCCACUUUCUAACCUAUUUGUCAUUUGUUACAGACAUUUGUUUUUUCAAUCACUCUGAGACACUGAGACUUUCUCUGGAUGGUCUGAUUGAUGUAAAAUGCCAGGCUGGUUUCCUAGCUCUAAGGAGCCAGGAGGAAGGAAGCUGUUUCAGAGGCCUCUGCCUUGUCUCUUAAGUGUGGUCCCGCCUGUCAGGGCAGCUCUCUGUGCUGCCUCUGCAGCCCCUCCCCGCGUCCUUGAAGCAGGAGAUGCGGUCUUCCCAACACGGCGACGUGUGGGGCAUGUGACGGAGGCCUGGCCCAUAGAGCUCCACUCCUGAGGCUGGGGGAGAAAACCAAAUGCCCCUCAUGAGACAUGGCCUGGCACUCAUGGCCUUUGUGCUGUCCCGGUUCCACACACAAGAAGCAGGUAGGAUGAAACCUGCGUCUCCUCACAUCCCCCAAUCCUGCACGAAUGGACCUGGCCCACCCGCCCCCCUCACCCUCCAUUCACCUCAACCAUCACCCUCACCUCAACCAUCACCCUCACCCUCCACUCACCCCAACCACCCCCCUCACCCUCCACUCACCUCAACCAUCACCCUCACCUCAACCAUCCCCCUCACCCUCCACUCACCCCAACCACCACCCUCACCCUUCACUCACUCCUCAUCACUCCACUCACCCUUCACUCACCCUCAAUCACCCCACUCAUCCCCCCCCCCCACCCAUCCCCACUCACCCCUCCUCACCCUCACUCACCGCUGCUCACCCCCUUUCACUCUCUACCCUUUCCUUCACCCUCCACAUCCCUCAGUCACCACCCCCACCCACCCCAGUCACUCUGCUUUUCUUUCUUUCCCUCAAAUGCUGCAAGUAUUCCCACCCCAAGGCCUUUGAAUUAGCUAUGCCUCCGGACAGUUGCACUCUCCAGGGAUCUUCACAAGGCCGGCUCCCUUUCAUGCCUCAGGUGAGGCCACCACAUAAAUGCCCGGACACUUUAUCUGCAAGUCAAGCAGGCUGGCUUAUUUCCUUCACGAUGCCCAUCUGUAUUUUGAGUUGUCUUACUUAUGUGUUUACAAGUUUCUUGUCUGUCUUCUCCAAGGUGGCCACAGCUGUUGGGUGUACACACUGUGAAGUUCCCGGAGUACAGAGGAUGAGGUGUCGGGAGGAGAGAGGAUGGGAGAGGACCUCAGGGCACAGUGGUUACCAAUGGCGGCUGCCGUCUGGGGAGCUGAAGGAUGGGCAUGGCAUCAUGGGUCAGGAUGGAGGUGAAGGGCGGGGGGUGGGUGUCACACCAGCUUGGUCCACUCUGGUGUGGGGGCGGGGCUGCGGGUAG
ensembl:lncRNA